rnacentral:rRNA from 1 species
UGUGAUGCGGGCGGUCCGCCGCCCGUGACUCUGCGAGAAGUCCAUUGAACCUUAUCAUUUAGAGGAAGGAGAAGUCGUAACAAGGUUUCCGUAGGUGAACCUGCGGAAGGAUCAUUG